GGCCACAGGUAGGGUGGGCAAGGUUAAUAGGGAUCUCUGCCUGUGCUCCCAGCUAUGCCUCAGCUUGGGAUGUUGGUCCAGCACAUGAAUUUUGGCAGUAAUGGAAAGAACAGGUUUUUAGUCUGGCAAAUUGCUUUGUGUGGAGUCAAGGGUCUGGCUGCAGGAGUGGGGAGGAUCUGCAGAUGAAGCACCCUGCCAGUAGUUCAAGGCUUCCCAACUGUCUGGAUUCAAGUACUGGGGAUAGUGCUGCCAACCUUUAAAGAAUAAAUAGACAGCCCUGGUUUCUAGAUGACCUGACAUGAUCACACUUCUUGAAAUUGAUUCACAGUCAUGGCUCAGAGUGCCCUGAUGGCCAUAUGGGACAGCAAAGACAGGAGGACACAAGGGCUGUCUGAGGAGCUGACAUGGGUUGGGCAGAGACUGUAUGAAGGGGAUGCAGUAUUCAUCCAGUUUCUCCAGUUUUUCCACAGAAAUUGCCUUGUGUCCUGGACUCUGCAACAGGCUGAGCUUCAGGAAGGAGAAGAGAGAAGAAAUGAGGACCUGAAUGGGGAAAAAGUGGAAAAGAGAGAUCAGGCAAAGGAGAUGAGCCCAAGGAGCCAAGAAGGAGGAAAUGUCAGAGGACAGGUGUCUGAGGUGAGCCCUCGGAGACGUGAGAGGGCAGCCUCGUGCAGAAACCAGACCUGACAGCAGCACCCUGUCUUCUCAUGGAGCGUGGGGGUGGCAACAUCCUCACAUGCUUUUUAGAAGUCCUUCAAGGAGAAGCCUAAGUAGAUAUUGAAUUUCACUGCUUCAUAGUACAACAAAUUCCUUCCAGGAAGAGGCUGAAUCAUUUCAUCUCCGUUAGAGCAGCAAUUUCUACCUCCAGCCGCAAGUCAACAGCUUUAAUAAUAGGUUCCUUCUACUCCUGGAGCCUGCUUGGCUCCACACCUCUCAGCUUGCCCAUUGACAAAUUGCUGCAGACAUGCAUCCACCUAUCCUAGGUUUGCCCCAGGCUUCCACACCACACAGUGUAUGUCCAUUAAACAGCUCGUGCUGUGUUAUCACAGACUGUAAAUUACUGCUUAAUCACACAGCUGGCCUGGAUGUCCAUCUCAGUCUGACCUCAGCGUCUCCACGCGACUGAUGAUGAAAGAUGUGUGCAUACCAACAGCACCAAGUAUUAUGUUCUUGAGAAUCCAGAGCAGGAGCCACCACAACAUAUGUGAUGUGACUUGUUCCAACCUAGAUAAACUGUUUAAGGGGGUGUAUGUAUGUGGGUACAUCUGAGCAAAUAUGAUAAGAGAACAUAAGUAUUUAAAUGAGCAAUG